GCUGGAGGGUACAGAUCAGACAAAGUGGCACCAUAUGUGCCAUUGGAUGAACUAGGGGGGGUAGAUGGGAUGUUCCUGAGGGAGUAGAUGCUCCUACUAGUGACAGACCAGGCUGGCGGCUCUGAGGCCCAGUGGGACUGGCGCUCCAGCACAGAGGAGGAUUAGGUCACAUGAUGAAUAUUCAGUCUGGUUCAUGCUGUGGUCAUUGAUAGUCAUAUAUGUAUGGAAAUAAGGUGUGCUGCCUCCUGCUUCUGCUCUCACACACAUCUCUGUGUGAGCGCGGGGGAGUGACGGGGACUGUGACAGCUGUGGAAAUGCUCACACGCGAACGCGAACUAUCUAUUUUAUCACUAAUCUCUUAUGAAGGCACAGAGAUGCAAAAACCCAAACUCUGUCAUUCUUUAUGUGUGUGUGUGUGUGUGUGUUGGGGUGUUGGGGUGUUGGGGGGGGGGGGGGGGUCUUAAACUGCAGUGCAUCCUGGGAGCUAUCCAUGUUUGCCACAUUUCCAGGGCGCUCACUGCCCGUCUUUUGCUCCCACUAUAGCGAUUGUUAACAAAGUCACUUUGGCAGUUUGUUACCACUAACCUUCUUCUUCUUCUCCUCCUUGUGGCACAACACUAACAGAUCCUCCUUUGCCGGCCACUGGAGAAGCUCUAACCGCUGACAGAUGCUUUAAUCCCAUACAGAUCUGCAUCACAAAGGAGACUAAUGCUAAUUUAAUCCCACAGCCUUUUCAGCAAACUGCAGCUCUCUGCUGACUCGAUGUUAUGUCCACAGUGUUGACAGCAUUUGUGUUGGGAUUGGAUCAGACCGGAAAUGUGCAGUCUAGAACUGAAAGUGAUGAGGAGUCAGACAAAUUAGUCUUUGUAAUGAGAUCAUUUAAAGAGCAACAUUUUUUUCGAUGGCCGACGACCUAUCCUAACCUUAACCAUUCCAAGUCAAUACCUAACCUUAGACAUUCCAGGUCAAUACCUAACUUUAGCCAUUCUAGGUCAAUGCCUAACCUUAGCCAUUCCAGGUCAAUACCUAACCUUAACCAUUCCAGGUCAAUACCUAACCUUAGCCAUUCUAGGUCAAUACCUAACCUUAGCCAUUCUAGGUCAAUACCUAACCUUAGCCAUUCCAGGUCAAUGGCUAACCUUAGCCAUUGGAGGUCAAUGCCUAAACUU